ACGCACCCACGCACGCACGCCCCCGCACGACCUCUCGCCCCCUCCUCAUCCUCCCACCCGACGCCACAGCAUGGGCCGGGACGCCGUUCGCCGAUCCUCCCGCGCCAUUCGCCGCCCAAGUGGUUUGCCGCCCCGCCGCCCCCCUGUCCUCCCGCGCCGUCGCCGCCCCCCUGUCCUCCCGCGCCGUCGCCGCCUGCCGUUCUCUCCUCCCGUGUCUCCUGCCGCUUGCCCCACAUCAUGGUGCGCCAUGGGUACCAUCCAGAUUGAGUACGGGGCACGGGCACGAGAGGCGCCGCGCUCCCUUCCCUGCACCGCUCUGCUGCUUUCGCUUCCAAGAAUACCGUCCUCCCACAAGAGCUUGAAUCGUCUGCCCGUGGUCGCAAUUUCCUGGCGUCUUCUGCUUCUUCUUUCUUUGGAUCCCUAGCUAGCGAGUCCGUUUCUUCCUCUGAAUUUUUAUGCAUUCACUAGCAAGCAACACUUUGUUUUAGCUGUAGCCAAUUCAGACGGUGAGUGGUACAGAUCACUAGCUAGCCGAGUCUGCCUCUUCCUCUGAAUUUCUCCUCAUUUACUAGCGAGAUGUAGUGUGAUUCUAGAAAAACGUAUUAACGAGAUGAAACUUGUGAUUUCUUCAGUAAACAAUACGUGUUAGAUUUUACUCCAAUUUCUUGUGCAAAUUUCAUUUUGAUACAUGUAGAGCAGCGGCGACAGCUCCGACGCAACGGGCUUGGCCUGCGUCGGCGGCGGCGGGGUCCGUCUCCUCCCUCGAGCAGCGGUGGUGGCGUGGGACACAGCAGGCUCGGCCGCGAAGAUGGAUUUCUCCGGCGGGGCAUUUUAAAAUGCUAAUGUGCCGAUGAAUCCUCGCCUCUGUUCCUCGACCUCGCGUCAGGGACGCAUAUGCCCCUGCGGCCGUUCCUCCUCGUGGUCAGUGACGCAAAGCCGAUGACACGGGAGCCGCUGCCGUUGUUCCUCUACGCGACAGUGAUACACACGGCGUAGCCUCUCCCUGAUCCUAUACCCGUGCCUUGUUCAUCCAUAUGUGAUCUUAUUUUGUUUCAGUUUUUUGCUAGCUUUAACAUUGGCCUUUGUUCAAAUCCUAUUCAGGUUGAACCAUAGAAAGCGAGCACACAAAGCUGCAGAGGCAACCAGUCCAAAGGAAUAAGUAAGGUCAUGCCAGUUCAUUCAACUGUUCAAGCUCAACUAAGUGUUGCAUUGAAAUUUGCAAGUAACCUUGCUUCAACAGAAGAGAAUUGGGUGAUGGACGUGAUAUCAACAUGGUUAUGGACUACCAUGUAUGUUCAUAAAUAUGUACACCCUUUGGGGUCGGGCCCGCCGCCACCACGGACUAGGCCGGCGGCAGCGGCGGCAGGAGGGGAGAUGGGAGGGACCUGGCGGCACAAGGGUUGGGGUCCCCUGGCGUCGCCCAAGGGAGGCGACGCGAGGGGGUAAGGAGACACAACUUGGAACAUGGUAAUUUCUGUUUAGGCUCUUACCUUUUGUAUUUGCACAAUGGUUGAUUUCCGUUUGGAAUGUUCAGGUACAUAAAGUUAGAGUAGUGGAGUAAAGCUUAAGAUUUUUUUGUAUGAUUAAUUCCUGAGAUGAGAAAGCUUAUACAUGGAAUAACUCGGUUUCUUGAUCUGUACAUAAAAUAUGUGUGAUAUUUGAUUCAAGAGGAAUAUUGAUUCAUGAA